rnacentral:tRNA from 1 species
GCCACAUUAGCUCAGCUGGUAGAGCAACGCAUUCGUAAUGCGUGGGUCGUAGGUUCGAAUCCUAUAUGUGGCUCCA